UACGGGGGGGGCAAGCGUUGUUCGGAAUUACUGGGCGUAAAGGGCUCGUAGGCGGCCAACUAAGUCGGAUGUGAAAUCCCCAGGCUUAACCUGGGAACUGCAUCCGAUACUGGAUGGCUUGAAUCCGGGAGAGGGAUGCAGAAUUCCAGGUGUAGCGGUGAAAUGCGUAGAUAUCUGGAGGAAUACCUGUGGCGAAGGCGGCAUCCUGGACCGGCAUUGACGCUGAUGAGCGAAAGCUAGGGGAGCAAACGGG
rnacentral:rRNA from 1 species